AGCGAACGCUGGCGGCGUACUUAACACAUGCAAGUCGAACGAGGAUCAUCGGGUUAGCAAUAAUUCGGUGGUCCUAGUGGCGCACGGGUGAGUAACACGUGGGUGACCUGCCCUUGAGCUCGGGGAUACCCCCUCGAAAGGGGGGCUAAUACCGGAUACGUUCCUCGGUCGAAAGACUGAGGAGGAAAGGUGGCGCAAGCUGCCGCUCUUGGAGGGGCUCGCGGCCUAUCAGCUAGNGGCGGGGUAACGGCCCACCAAGGCUAUGACGGGUAGCUGGUCUGAGAGGACGACCAGCCACACGGGGACUGAGACACGGCCCGACUCCUACGGGAGGCAGCAGUGGGGAAUUUUCCGCAAUGGGCGAAAGCCUGACGGAGUGACGCCGCGUGUGGGAC
rnacentral:rRNA from 1 species